UUGUGGAGUAUGAGUGAAUUUAAUCCUUAAGCAGAAAGAAAGGAAGGAAGAAGAGGCUUUUGAACAAUUUGAGGUAGGACUAGGACUCACUAUCAAAGGGAAGGGGAAGACGGGGGCGGAGGAAGCCUUGGACCACGAAACAAAGCGUCACCCACAAGAACAGCCCAGCCUAGACCGAUGACGAGCAGAACAAAUACCCAGCCCCACCAGGGGAGAUGCCUUGUUAGACCUGGUGCUGGCCACGGGCGAUGACCUGGUGAGGGGUCUGCGGGUGCUCGACCACCUGGGCGACAGCGAUCAUCGCCUGCUGGAAUUCACCAUCCAGUGCAAGACGGCAAAAGCCUGCAGCAAAACAGCAGCCCUGGAUUCAGGAGGGCGGACUUCAAUGAGAUGCAUCUCGAGCAGGUCCAAGGAGGUGAUCGUCCCCCUCUGUGUGGCACUGGUCAGGCCACAGUUGGAGUACUGCAUCCAGUUCUGGGCAUCGCACUUCAGGAGGGAUGUGGACAGCAUUGAGAGGGUCCAGAGGAGGGCCACCCGCAUGAUUAAGGGGCAGCAGGGCAGGCCCUACAAGGAGAGGCUACGGGACCUAACCUGUUCAGCCUCCACAAGAGAAGGCUGAGGGGGGGAUCUAGUGGCUGUUUACAAACCAGUCAGAGGGGAUCAGCAGGUUUGUGGGGAGUCCCUGUUCCCCCGAGACCUCUCAGGAGUGACAAGAGAUAACGGUCACAAGCUGGCAGAGGGUAGAUUCAGACUAGAUAUCAGGAGCUGCUACUUCACAGUUAGGGCGGCUAGGAUCUGGAACCAACUUCCAAGGGAAGUGGUGCUGGCUCCUACCCUGGGAGUCUUCAAGAGGAGGCUAGAUGAACACCUCGCCAGGGUCGUUUGACCCCAGUACUUUUUCCUGCCAUGGCAGGGGGCCAGACUUGAUGAUCUGUCAAGGUCCCUUUCGACCCUACCAACUAUGAAACUAUGUCCUAGGACCUCCAUUAGUGAUGAUCCACCAAUGCCAGCAAAAACCUUCAGUAAUACUAUUUUGUAGUUAAAAUAAUUGAAUGAAUUUUGGUGCAUGCAUUUAGAUCAUAGCUAGAGAGAGCAUGUGUUAUCCAGGACCCUAGUCCACAAUGGAAAGUUCUAUGUGCUCAUAGCUUGUGACUAUGUAAGGAUGUUAACAAGUAGCAUCACUCAUGGGAAAACCAUAAUUAGUGCUUAGCAGAACUCAUCACCACCUCACGAAUUGUGUGCGCCUAAUUAGAUGGUUGCUUAUCUGUAGCAGUCUGGGGCAGCCAGAUUCCAGUUAGCAAUAGCUAGCUGUUAUUGCACUUCUACGGCAGGUCUCAUCUGCAUGUCCUCAACCUGAAAGGCUGUGGCAGCCUCUUCAUGCAAGUCCAAGGUGGUGGCCUUCCUCACAGAAAUUCGAGAUUGCUGCUGCUUAAUCAUAGGCCUGCACUGCAGUAUAUUCCUAAAGCUCAGUGCUUGUGGUCCUAGCCUAGAAACACCUGGGAGAUUAUACAACUAUGCAGCAUAUGUUUAGUAAGCUCCUACAUGAAUACCACUCCCUCAGAGUGCACAAAGUCCAUAAAUGUUUUCCCAAAAUACGUCACAGAAGUUUUUUGGAGUAGUGUGGAAUAAUAUAGCACUGAGAACCAUGGGAUAUGACCUUGCUUUCACUCAGCUCAGGAUUGUGGGCAGUAAGCACCCAGUCAAUUACAGUGUGGCUGCUCUCCCCCAAACUAGUCUAGUUCUAGUGGAGUAUCUUCGGCAUUUUAACCUGAGAUAACAAGCGAAAGCAGUAAAGACAAACCUUUCUGUGAAAAAGUGGUGUCUGGUAUCAGAACUCUUGCUUAAAUUGUGGCAGAAUACCAUCUCUGUCUCUCCCCAAACUCUGCCAUCUGACAAUUUGGUUACCAUGGUCACUGCAGAGGGCAGACACCCUCUGGCCCCCAUCAGCUUCAAGUAACCCUGAGUUGUAACCUGAGCUGAAUACAUUCCUGAGGGAGGGGAAAACCUCCUUCCUCUGCUUACGUGACUGGCCCCACAUACCUGGGUGGGGGCUUAAGCUCCAUAUUGUUCUAAGCAAUGCCAACAUGACUGGGAGGGGGCUAAAGACCCAACCAGUCUACCCAGCAACCAGUGAUGCAUUUCAAAUUGGUUGGCUGGCUGGCAGCCAACAGUUGCUGGCCUUCAUUGGAUCAUGUAAAUGAGGUCAUAAGGGCUAUAUAAGUGAAGGACUGCCCAGGAGGAGGGGCAGUAGCCAUGAUAAUUACUCAGAGAGAAGCUGGACCAUCUGAAACUCGCUCUCUCUCUUGAAACUCAUGGUCAAGGAACUCUUUGCUUCCAGAGAAAAUCUCCACCUGCCUCUGUAUGAUACUCAUGAGCAAGCUACCUGAGAUCUAACUAGAUACAUAGCUUGCAGUACCUCAGAUGCGUAAUCAACGACUACCAUGCCACUGUUUGCUCUAAGGUAUUUCUCUAAUAUUGCUCUACCCUGUACCCUGUUGCAAAUCUACUUCUUGUAGCCAAUAAAGUUCUCUUUUGUACCUAGCAUGGAAGACUUAUUGGGAGAGGUUCUAGAUUAUGCCUUGGGGUCCCCUAGGUUCAGCUGACUAAGGGGGACCACUAUUUGUGCUUCAGACUGAGAAAAGCACCCCAAGUUCUUGCAGUGAGUCAAGUAACCUCAAGGACUACUAGGCCUGUGUUUCCUAGAGGGCGCAGGUCCCAGAUCGGUUCAGACUCUGGGUGGUGGUAUUACCCCCAGGCUUGCAGCUGUGCUCCAGGAAGGGGGUUGGCCAGACGUGAGGCAUCCCCAGGGAGGCACUCAGAGCCUGGAACAUGGUUGCAGGAGCACCCCCUUACUCGCCUGCCACAUAAACCUAUUUGCAUUUUUAAAUAUCACAACCCUUCUCCCCCUCCCCCCCAACAGAUUCCUAGGGGAAUUGCAAGGAGCUAGGGCAUGCUUUGCAUCAGGGCACCAAAAGAUAAUGUGAUUCUGUUGGCUCUCAUUAUACUUAUGCUAAGAAGAUUCAAACAUAGAGAGCAAUUACCAAGCUCCAUUCUGGCACAGGUUAUGUGUUUUUUCACUGCUGAGACCUUAUCUUAAUUUUAAAAAGUUGUGUUUGGCUUCCCUUGGCCAAACACAGUCCUACUUUUGCAGUUGUUUGAUCUAUAUUUUAUUGGUUCCUUAGAGAGAGCAAAGAACAGAGCAGACAGAUCCAAAGGCAAGGUACACAAAAGAGAAGGGAAUAUAUGGGGGCAAAAUGCAUGGUCCUCAAAUACCACAAAGGGGAGUUUGAAUGCAAAAGGUAUGUUCACAAUGUCAGACUUCCUCUGUGAUUGGAUAUAAUAAAAAAUUCUGAUGGCAGGGUCCUCGUGGAAAGUGAUGAUGUCAAACACUGGUCCAGAGCGUACUGUGCCAGGCUGUAUGCCUCAUCAGAGCUGCUCACAAUGCAGGAUGACAGAAAUGAGAGUAUGGAGCUGGAGCCAUCAAUUCUAUGAGAGAAAGUGGCGUGUGCUGUUCAGACAAUGAAGCCUGGGAGAACACCAGAAUAGAUAACAUACUAGCAGAAGAAUCAAAGUGAUUGGCGGCUAUGUCAUUGAUUUCAUAUGGACAACUUGCAAACUGGAUGACUAGCUGGACAAACAGAACCUUUCUCUCUUUAGCAAAGAAUGGGGACAUAACAGAGUAUUGUAACAAUUGUACUAUUUCCCUGAUAGUCUAUGUAAGCUCUUUAUAACCCAGGAUUGCGUGAAGUGAAUGAUGGCAGUAGAACUAUCAUUACGACAACCUGAUUUCAUAAAGGGAAUGAUACACAUGUGAUCAUGUUACAAACAUGUCACAUUUGCUGAACAGCUAGUGUUUUUCUGUCUCCCAUUGAUUACACGUUUCAAUGACCACUCAAAAGCUUUUGAUAUUGUAAGGGUUAAAUUCUACUCCAGUGAUAAGUCACCAUGCCAACUGAUAAGGAGUCAUCCUGUCACUACCUAUUGUACUUGCUGAAAGCUGAUCCCACCCCAAACACGCAACUUUAACAACAGUAGGGCAGACAGGGUGAACUGUGUACGUGGCAAGCUUCCUUGUGUGCAUAUAGAUUGCCCUGAUUCUGGUCCCGGUGUUUACUACCUGUUCCUGUGCUUCUGGUAUCUUUUUCUGAUUUCUGAUCUUUGUCUUGCUACUGACCCUACUUCUCAGCUUCUGACCCUGAACUAUUCUAACUCUGCCUGUUUACAUAUAACUGCUGACAGCUCUGUGGCUUGACAAGUUAGUGGGCCCUGCUAACAUAGGCCAUCUGCCUGACUGGCCCUGGCUCUGAACUCAAGGGACUGCCCUAAAAUCUGACCUCUGGUGACCAAAGCACUAAGCUUCCAGUCUGUAAGCAGCACCCAGAUUAUUCACUUCUCUUCACCUUAUUUUCUAUUUCCUGCCCUGGCUUACCUAAUUUCUGGUUCCUGGCUCUGACUCCUUACUACUCCUCCAGCCUUGUCUUCCUGGAGGUAGCUCCUAAUCACACCACGUUCUUACUCUUCUCUAGUUCUUGGCCCCUGGCUUGAUGUCUCAAAUAUAGACCUUUGGUACCUGACCCCAACCUGAUAUGUUGGAUCUGUCUCUUGUUCCUGCUCCUUGACUUGAUAUCCUGGUUGUUGAUCUUCAGCUCCUAACCUCUGUGUUGCUUCUGACAACCCACUAGGGCCCUCAACUCUAGAAACUCGACCGAGCUAUUCUAGGUGACUGUAACAGAUGCUGUCCAACCUUGUCAUCUUUGGAGUGUUUUAUUAGAUUUAGGGAUUCCAAAGCCUCUCAGAACUCAUGACAUAUACCAUGAAUAACAGACUAUGGUACAAGUAGCAGGAAGGUGUGUUUUGUCUCUAGACUUUUGCAACAUACAUGCAGAAUUUAUUAAGAGACAAGCCCUGGAAAGACUCCACAAGGAAGAAAAUUUUCAUUUGCGUGCACCUUUAACUAACCUCAGAUAUGGUGAUACUCUUUGCUACAACCAUCAGUGCAGUGUUCUGUAUGUUGGAGUUGGAAAAAUGGUUAAUGAAGAAUAAAAACAAAAUAUGUGGGUAUUGACUUCAUUUAAAAAAAGGAGGCAAGAGAGCACCAUGAUUAUUGAUCAAGUAGAUUAAUUCAAUUAUCCGGGAUCAUCCAUAUCCAUCAAGGAGGCUGUUCCAAAGAAUUAAGAAGAAGACCAGCCAUGGUUUCUGUCAUGAAAGCUUGAAAAAUGGCAUGUCAAAAUGUGUGCUGAUACACCUGAGAAAGGGGACAGGGGGAAUCUAUAGCAACUAAUUGUAUGAAUUGUGGGGAAAUUCAUGUUGCUGGUAAGAAAACUGAUGCCUUUGAAAUGUGGUGCUAGUGAAGACUUUUUAAAAUCUCCUGGAUGGAAAUGAAAAUGAAUGCUUAUGUCAGAAAUAUUAUUGGUGAAAAGUAGAUUUGUUGAAAAUCAAGUUGGCCCAAACUUACAUAUUUUGGGCAAAUUGGAUGUGCAAAUAAUAGUAUGGAAAAAUGGUGGUAAGUCAGUAUCACAGAAGGCAAUGAAUGGAGAAGAAGAAAUGUUCUAUGACUGUAGGAGUAGGAUGGUGGGAACACCACAGACCUCAUUUGACUCACUUAUUCUGGCUGUACCAGUGCAACCCCAUCGAGUGCAGUAAUAAUACAAAGCAAUAAAUAAUACUAUAUAAACAGUAAUAACAUCUUAUAGUAACCCUGCAAAGGUAGUAAGUUUUAGCUCUGAUUUUAUACACUGAGAGAAGUCAAAUGACUUUUAAGUAAGAAGUAAGUGAACUAGUGGCUAGAGCCUCAGUUGAUCUAUGACAAUUGAUCCUGGGUUUCUUUCUCCUAACGUGUCUUUAGGGGUGUGAAUCUGACUCCAGCACUGCACUGGAGGACCCAAGCAAACUCUGUUAAUGAGAAUACACCACACCAGUGUACUGCACACUGUCCUUUCCAAUACCAAAUGUGAUUUAAAGUCUUGAUAUUGAUCUUCAACAUCACUAGCAUCCUAUUUUGGGAAUUGUCUCUGCCUCCUGAACCAUCUCCUUCCACUUGCUGAAGAGGCUCUCCCAGAAUCUGUGUGGGUUUAGGGCAUCAAAAGGUACAACCAACAUGAUCUUCAUUGCUUACCAGCUGCAGGAAAAAUGCCUGGAAGAACAUAAACCUCUCUAUAUGGCCGCCUCUAACCUCACAAAAACCUCUAACUCUGAUAACCAAGAGGUGCUGUGGAGGAUCCUUUUGAGGUAUGGAUACCCAGUGAAAUUCAUCACCAUUUUUUGCCUGCUUCAUGAAGGUAUGUGGGUUGUGGUUCUCAGUAAUGGAUCUGUCACAGAGCCUUUGAGGUUAAGGCUGGAGUUAAGCAAGGCUGUGUCAUCGCUCCAACACUCUUCUCAAGAUUCCUUACCCCAAUAUUACAUCUGACGACUGACAAGCUUCCAGUUAGAGUGGAGCUAAACUACUGAAUGGAUGGUAAGCUAUUUAAUUUUGGCCGAUUCCAAACCAAAACCAAGACUACCCCGACCUUAGUCAUUGAGCUCCAGUGUGCUGAUGAUGUUGUAGUGCAGGCUCACUUGGAAGCAGAUCUCCAGGCAAUCGUUGAUACCUUUACCAAGGCAUUCAAAAAAAUGGGACCAUUUCUUUUUGUUGAAAAAUUUCUUGUUCUAAUUUUUUCAAUGAACUUAACAUUCAGAAGGCUAAGGUCCUUCAUCAACAAGUUCUUAAUACACAGUCCCCAGAUCCAGUAAUUCAGAUCUAUGGGAAGACUCUGGAGAAUGUUGAAUAUUUCCUGUACCUUGGAAGCCAUCUCUCGUGGAAGGCUGACAUUGUUGAAGAAAUCCAACAUUACCUUAAAUGUUCAAGUGCAGCCUUUGGACACCUGUGGAAAUGGAUAUUUGAAGAACACAGCACCAGAUCUGAAAGCAAGCUCAUGGUUUAUCAAGUAGUCAUAAUCCCUACCUUGCUGUGUGGAGCCGAGUCAUGGACAGCAUACAGGUCACUGGAGAAGUACCAUCAAUGCUGUCAGUGGAAGAUCCUUAAAUCCAGUGGGAAGACAGGUACACUGAUGCUAUCAUCUUACAAUCAAACAUCACAAGCUCUGGGGCAAUGAUCAUGCAACAUCUACUUUACAGGGCCAGCCACAUCAUACAGAUGAUUGACUUCAGGCUCCCGAAGCAAAUUUUAUUCUCACAGAUCAGUUAAGGCAUAUCCUCAAGAAGAGGGAAGAGAAAGCAACUUGAAAAAAUGCUCCAGGCCAACUUGAAAAAAUGCAUCCUCCAGACCAACUUGAAAAAAUGCAAAAUUCACAUAAAUUUGGGGGGGAAAACUGCUCCAAAUGAAUGAAGAGUCUGUUGCAAGGAUCUCAGUACUUUGAAACCUCAUGACAACAAUAGGAGAUAGAAAAGCAGAAGCUGUAGAAACAGCAUGUCACAGCCUGAACCAUGAAUCCAGAGCCACCAACCCCUCAAGGAAACAUGUGCCCAAGUUGCAAUAGAACCUGUUGAUCCUAGAUUGGCCUUGUCGGCUAUCUUUGAACCCACAGAUAAGCCAAUUAUGAAAGACAAUCAUCUUUGACUGCAAGGGAUUGCUACUGCUAAUGAUUGUCAGUGUUCCAGAAUAAAUGAUAAUCCGUUAAAACUUGAAAAUGUAAGUCAUCAGUCUUUGGCUCCUACAGCUGUCUAAAUAUUGACAAACCACUUUCCCCAAAACAGGAAUCCAACAUCUAGUAAAGGGAACCCAAAUAACACAUAACAUUAUAACAAGACAGAACAGACCUGGCACAGAUCCAGGGGAGGCACAGCAGUUCAGCUGCAUCCCCUUUUGACUUCCACCCAGACUUUAAAAUCAGCUGCCUUGGAGAAGCAGUGUCAUUUCUAUUCAGGCAGUGCUAAGAGAGUCAAUUGACUUCAUGGUUCAUGAUCAUCUUCCUGAUCUUCCUAAUCUUUCUCUAUUCCAAAGGUGUUAAUGAUCUUUAACAAUUGGUUUUAAUGAUCUUGAUGUUCCACUAUCCAAACUACCCUUUCUUCUGCAAUUUACCUGUCUGUUACACAUUUCUGGCAAUGUCUCUCUUCUGUUUCACAGUCCUGCAGACUGUUUUCAGCUCUAGCUAAAAACUUUAACUGAGGUUUGGCAAUAACAACUCAGGCAUAGAAAUGACUGACAGUGAAAUAUUGGAGGCACUGUCAAGAAAUUCAAGAAGGCAAUAUUUUGUUUUAAGAAUCUGAAUAAGAGACAUAUGUUUAACUAUAAUGACUAUGGGGAAUAAUGACCCAAUAUCUUUUGACUAUUUUUUUACCAAGUUUUAUUGUGGGUUUUUUUUAACUUUGUAUAUAAUCUAGCAAAUUAGUGCACAUUCCAAUUGUUCUAUUUGUUUUUGCUUUGAUCUUAAACUAAAUAUUGUAAUGGUGCCCCCUAGCAUAUUAGUAAAGCUUCUAGUUUCUGUUUAAUUUGAUAAAAGCAUAUGUUGUGUUAUAUGUGAUGAUGUGCCACACUAUCUGCACCCUCCUUUUCAAAAUCCUAGAUCUGCCCAUGGGACAGGUGAUAGUCUCUUGGAUUUCUGGGCUGAUUUGUGAAAGCUGAGUGUUCUCAGGAGUCAACACCUUUGCAAAAUAGGACUUGAAACUGCUGCAUGCUCAUUUCACCACAGUGACAGCAGUUUAGUCUAAUGUAGGCCCUGUAGAGCCAAAACAAAAAACUAUCAGGUGCUACUGUUGCCCCUGAUGGAAAGGUGAUAUCCAACUCCCAGCUCUUUGAAGCUUAAGUAAUGCCCAUCUUGACACCUUGUAGCUUUUUGUACCCCAGCUCCUGCAGCAGUCUGUGGAAUGGCAAUUAGCAGCAAACCGGCAGUCUUAGUAACACAUGGCAACAUUUAUCUUGCUAUUUAACGAGAGAAGUGUAAGGGAAUGACACAAUACUAGCAGAGGUGGCCUUCAGGUGGGCAGAGAUGUCAGGAAUUGGAGAAGACCACCAAAGGGACUUGGGAGGGUGAAGAAGGAAUGACUUGAAGCAUGAAAAGAUGGUGUGGGGAAGAGCAGGGAAAUGCAAAUCAGGGAGAAAAAAAGACAGUUUCGUGGGUUAGGACACAUGGUGUGGAAAGGCUAUAAAAUGUAGUGGUGGGACUUAUUUAUAAGUUGUACAAGGAGAGUCACCCUCAAUACCUUGGAUUUUAUUAUUUCAAACUGAUGCACAUCUAUUAAGCUCUAUAAUUUUCCUGAGAACACACCGAAAUAAUAGUACUUCACUGACACCUGUGGAUGUCACUGAGCAUUACACAUUCCUAAUGUAUCCUGAGCCCUGGAAGUGGGAUCAUUAGUAAAUCAUAGAAUCAUGUUAAUCCUGUUCCUGUAUUUUGUCAUCCUUGCCUUCGAGACUUCUUGGUUAAACAUGUUUGAACGUUGUCCCCUUGCCCUAUUUUUUAAGCCAUUGAAAGGAAUUGUAGAUGUGAUCUUAAAUUCCGUCAGUACACUGAUGAUUUUAUCCUAUUCUAUUCUACAGUGUGUUCUGAUACUACUGUCAUCAUCACCAGAAUGUUUGGAGCAUCUUCCAGCAGCGCAUUAAGCAAUACGACUAAUAUGCUUAUCUCUCACAUAUUCUCUCCCAAGCAGUGAAUUGUGAAUUCAGUGUUUUGUUUUUCUCUUUUAAAAGGACAAGGGAAAGUUUAGCGGUGUGCCUUGCACAUGGAGUGGAAUGCGUGGGGCAUCCAUUUCAUUAAAACAGUUCUUUUUGUUGUGUUGGGAACACAGGAGAAAGAAAGGGAGAUAGGAGAUAAUAGAUGAUUUCCAGAUCAACAUUUCCUUAAUCUCUGAUUCAAACACUGCUGUCUCUUAUGUACCCCACUACCUGGAUGAGAUCAGCCUUUGGCUAGAGAUGAACCCUGGUAAAAUGGAGCUGAUGUUUACUGGGAUUAAAAAAAAACAACACACACAUAUUAAAUGAACAAUUUAUUUGUCUGAGUAGCACUUUUUCCUCCUCGUAAAUUGGCUGCAAUUUUCUUGUUCCAAUUUUUUCAGUGAACGUUUUUUAUGUGAAGAGGUUUCAGACUGUGACUUGAGUUCUGAGCUCUUCACCAUGAAUGUGUCUUAAGUACAGUAUUGCAUGUCUGAGUAAUAUGAUUGGUAUCUCCAAGUCAUAGGGUGUUGCUUUUAUUCCCCAAUCGUUAACAUUACUUCAUAGUAUGAGAAGGUGCUGAACCUUCAGGGACUACUGGAAACCAAUAGCACCUUCUGCAAAAUUAGUUCCUGGAAGGAAAUCUCACUACCUCCACAAUGUGCUUUGCUCAGGACAGCAAAGGAGUUUGUUUGACAAUUGGAUCUUCUUGUCUUAACUGCGAGGAGGCAUAUAACCUAUUGAUUAUUGCUAGAGGAAGUUCUAGAAGCUUAGAGAGCAGCCAGAGAGUUCAGAUGAAGGCCUCUUUAGCCUAGUGACCUCUGUAUGAUGGGAGAGACCUCUGUGUGCCAGGACUUUAUAGCUUUCCUUUACUGGGAAAGAAGGAGGUCUGUGGUGGGUCUCCCAUUUCUGUAUUUCUUUUCAUUCUAUUAAGGGCCUUAAAAUAAACAGAGCCCUACCCCAAAGAAUUUUUCUUAUUAACCAAAGGGUUGGCCUCUCUUACAGUGUAGGAUAAAGCUUCAUCCUGUUUUCACCCACAGCAAUUUCAUUUUGAUGUCAAUCCAAUUUUGUUUCAUAAUUAAAUGAACCUCUGCUAUCAGUCUGCAAUGCACUUUCCAUGAACAUUUGUAUAGGCACAACUUUGCUUGUGUGAAUGUUUAAGAAAAGUGAAUGGAAAAGAAUGUGCGUCUCAUUGAAGCAAGAUUACUUAGGAGUCCUUAAAGUGUUCAUGAAUGAGUUUCUUGCCUAUUCAUUCAUCUCUGUUAAUAUCUAUUCAUUGUAGAUCUCCUGCUAAGCUCAUUUAACAGUGGUAAUAAAACCAGGAAGCCCACUGAGUUAUAUGCCUGGUGGCCUGUUCUUGGAAUAAAUC